AACAGGAUUAGAUACCCUGGUAGUCCACGCCGUAAACGAUGUCGACUUGGAGGUUGUUCCCUUGAGGAGUGGCUUCCGGAGCUAACGCGUUAAGUCGACCGCCUGGGGAGUACGGCCGCAAGGUUAAAACUCAAAUGAAUUGACGGGGGCCCGCACAAGCGGUGGAGCAUGUGGUUUAAUUCGAUGCAACGCGAAGAACCUUACCUACUCUUGACAUCCAGAGAACUUAGCAGAGAUGCUUUGGUGCCUUCGGGAACUCUGAGACAGGCGCUGCAUGGCUGUCGUCAGCUCGUGUUGUGAAAUGUUGGGUUAAGUCCCGCAACGAGCGCAACCCUUAUCCUUUGUUGCCAGCGGUUCGGCCGGGAACUCAAAGGAGACUGCCAGUGAUAAACUGGAGGAAGGUGGGGAUGACGUCAAGUCAUCAUGGCCCUUACGAGUAGGGCUACACACGUGCUACAAUGGCGCAUACAAAGAGAAGCGACCUCGCGAGAGCAAGCGGACCUCAUAAAGUGCGUCGUAGUCCGGAUCGGAGUCUGCAACUCGACUCCGUGAAGUCGGAAUCGCUAGUAAUCGUAGAUCAGAAUGCUACGGUGAAUACGUUCCCGGGCCUUGUACACACCGCCCGUCACACCAUGGGAGUGGGUUGCAAAAGAAGUAGUAGCUUAACCUUCGGGAGGGCGCUUACCACUUUGUGAUUCAUGACUGGGGUGAAGUCGUAACAAGGUAACC
rnacentral:rRNA from 1 species